GUUCUAAUUUAAUUGCAUUGUUGUCAGAGAACAAGUCUGUAUUCAGUCAAGAUCCUGGCAGGAAGCAGAUGGCACACUCAAAUUGGGUAAUUUGAGAAGGGUUUGAUAAAGAGACUAUUGAUAAAGGUGUGGGCAGGAGGUCGGAGAGCCCCAGGGGCUUGGUGGCACUGCAGCCUUACUGCCUGCAGGGAGCGGGGCGGGCAGAAGCAGAGGCUCAGUGGUGUCGGGACAGCAGCUGCUCUACUGGCAGCCUGCAGUGGGGAGGCACAGAAGCCAGGCCCAUACAGGGAAGGCCUGGAGUGCAGGCUCCUUCCUGAAACUGAUCACCACUCCUUGCUGCCUCCCUCCCCAGAGCCCACAGAGGAGCCACUUCCCUACCUUGUGCUGCAUCAUGCUGUAGCAUCUGAGAGGAGGCUCUCUGGACAGCUCUCUGUUGUCUCCAGGGCCGUCCCACCCAGGAGGACCUCGCAGCUCCCUAACAGUCCCCGUGAUGGCUUCCUGUGGUCCAGGCCAUCCCAAGACGGGCAGGAGAGCAGGACUAAACUGUGUCUCUCCUGCCCGUCCCCCUUGCCCUGGCUGCAGCCUCCACCCACUUCACAGACCUCAUCUAUUUUUCCAGUGGGAAAAGGCCCAGUAACAGAACAUGCGGGGCCCAGUGCAAAAUGAAAUAAAGCCGCCUUGUUCAAAAGCCUGGCAAAGUGCAGUUAAAGGUGCUAAAUAUACAAACCUCUUCCUCCAUUCCCCAGGCUCUCUUGAUUAGCCAUGGUGUUUUCUUGCUAUUUAAUGCCAUUCUAAGUAAAGAAAAUUAA
rnacentral:lncRNA from 10 species